rnacentral:lncRNA from 1 species
UAGGGUGUGAGAUUAUAGAGAUAAAGAGUUUUAUGUGGGUAUUGCCUUUAAUUAUCUUUCUUCUUAUCUGGAUGUUUUUAUUGAUUGGAAUAACGUUUGGAAGUAGAAAGACCCCAUCAGAUCCAAAUUUCACAUGGUUUAUGCUCCAUGAAAGACUUUUGACUAACUCUCGGUCCACCAAUGGAAUCUAACUAAAUAUGGGGAUUUCAA